GCGCCGGUGGUGUAAUGGCGUAGAGCAUUCCCGCCCGGUCAGAGGGAGGUGUGGGUUCGAGUCCCGUCUGGCGCU
rnacentral:tRNA from 1 species